rnacentral:rRNA from 1 species
GACGAACGCUGGCGGCGUGCUUAACACAUGCAAGUCGAACGGAAAGGCCCUGCUUUUGUGGGGUGCUCGAGUGGCGAACGGGUGAGUAACACGUGAGUAACCUGCCCUUGACUUUGGGAUAACUUCAGGAAACUGGGGCUAAUACCGGAUAUGAGCUCCUGCUGCAUGGUGGGGGUUGGAAAGUUUCGGCGGUUGGGGAUGGACUCGCGGCUUAUCAGCUUGUUGGUGGGGUAGUGGCUUACCAAGGCUUUGACGGGUAGCCGGCCUGAGAGGGUGACCGGCCACAUUGGGACUGAGAUACGGCCCAGACUCCUACGGGAGGCAGCAGUGGGGAAUAGUGCACAAUGGGCGGAAGCCUGAUGCAGCAACGCCGCGUGCGGGAUGACGGCCUUCGGGUUGUAAACCGCUUUCGCCUGUGACGAAGCGUGAGUGACGGUAAUGGGUAAAGAAGCACCGGCUAACUACGUG